AUUGAACGCUGGCGGCAUGCUUUACACAUGCAAGUCGAACGGCAGCACAGGGAGCUUGCUCCCGGGUGGCGAGUGGCGCACGGGUGAGUAAUACAUCGGAACGUGUCCUGUUGUGGGGGAUAACUGCUCGAAAGGGUGGCUAAUACCGCAUGAGACCUGAGGGUGAAAGCGGGGGAUCGCAAGACCUCGCGCAAUUGGAGCGGCCGAUGCCCGAUUAGCUAGUUGGUGAGGUAAAGGCUCACCAAGGCGACGAUCGGUAGCUGGUCUGAGAGGACGACCAGCCACACUGGGACUGAGACACGGCCCAGACUCCUACGGGAGGCAGCAGUGGGGGAUAUUGCACAAUGGGGGGAAACCCUGAUGCAGCGACGCCGCGUGGAGGAAGAAGGUUUUCGGAUUGUAAACUCCUGUCGUUAGGGACGAUAAUGACGGUACUAACAAGAAGCACCGGCUAACACGUGCCAGCAG
rnacentral:rRNA from 1 species